GCGCCUAUAGCUCAGCAGGAUAGAGCAACUGCCUUCUAAGCAGUGGGUCGGGGGUUCGAGUCCCUUUGGGCGCACCA
rnacentral:tRNA from 2 species